rnacentral:rRNA from 1 species
UACGGGGGGAGCAAGCGUUGUUCGGAUUUACUGGGCGUAAAGGGCGCGUAGGCGGCGUAACAAGUCACUUGUGAAAUCUCCGGGCUUAACCCGGAGCGGCCAAGUGAUACUGUUGUGCUAGAGUGCAGAAGGGGCAACUGGAAUUCUCGGUGUAGCGGUGAAAUGCGUAGAUAUCAAGAGGAACACCUGAGGUGAAGACGGGUUGCUGGGCUGACACUGACGCUGAGGCGCGAAAGCCAGGGGAGCAAACGGGG